rnacentral:rRNA from 1 species
GGUAAUGCCGGAUGCUCCAGUUGAUCGCAUGGUCUUCUGGGAAAGCUUUCGCGGUAUGGGAUGGGGUCGCGUCCUAUCAGCUUGACGGCGGGGUAACGGCCCACCGUGGCUUCGACGGGUAGCCGGCCUGAGAGGGCGACCGGCCACAUUGGGACUGAGAUACGGCCCAGACUCCUACGGGAGGCAGCAGUGGGGAAUAUUGCACAAUGGGCGCAAGCCUGAUGCAGCGACGCCGCGUGAGGGAUGGAGGCCUUCGGGUUGUAAACCUCUUUUAUCGGGGAGCAAGCGUGAGUGAGUUUACCCGUUGAAUAAGCACCGGCUAACUACGUGCCAGCAGCCGCGGUAAUACGUAGGGUGCAAGCGUUAUCCGGAAUUAUUGGGCGUAAAGGGCUCGUAGGCGGUUCGUCGCGUCCGGUGUGAAAGUCCAUCGCUUAACGGUGGAUCCGCGCCGGGUACGGGCGGGCUUGAGUGCGGUAGGGGAGACUGGAAUUCCCGGUGUAACGGUGGAAUGUGUAGAUAUCGAAAAAAAAACAC